rnacentral:rRNA from 1 species
UACGAAGGGGGCUAGCGUUGCUCGGAAUCACUGGGCGUAAAGGGUGCGUAGGCGGGUCUUUAAGUCAGAGGUGAAAUCCUGGAGCUCAACUCCAGAACUGCCUUUGAUACUGAGGAUCUCGAGUCCGGGAGAGGUGAGUGGAACUGCGAGUGUAGAGGUGAAAUUCGUAGAUAUUCGCAAGAACACCAGUGGCGAAGGCGGCUCACUGGCCCGGUACUGACGCUGAGGUGCGAAAGCGUGGGAGCA